CCUACGGGAGGCAGCAGUAGGGAAUCUUCCACAAUGGGCGAAAGCCUGAUGGAGCAACGCCGCGUGGGUGAAGAAGGUCUUCGGAUCGUAAAACCCUGUUGUUAGAGAAGAAAGUGCGUGAGAGUAACUGUUCACGUUUCGACGGUAUCUAACCAGCAAGCCACGUCCAACUACGUGCCAGCAGCCGCGGUAAUACGUAGGUGGCAAGCGUUAUCCGGAUUUAUUGUGCGAAAAGGGAACGCAGGCGGUCUUUAAGUCCGAUGUGAAAGCCUUUGGCUUAACCGGAGUAGUGCAUUGGAAACUGGGAGACUAGAGUGCGGAAGAGGAGAGUGGAACGCCAUGUGUAGCGGUGAAAUGCGUAGAUAUAUGGAAGAACACCAGUGGCGAAAGCGGCUCUCUGGUCUGUAACUGACGCUGAGGUUCGAAAGCGUGGGUAGCAAACAGGAUUAGAUACCCUAGUAGUC
rnacentral:rRNA from 1 species